rnacentral:lncRNA from 1 species
GCAAAGAGCCUCGACUGGCGAAAGUACCGUCGAUUUCAUCGGGGUCACAGCCACAAUACCGAGCAGUGCAUCCAACUUAAGGAUAAAAUCGAGGCCCUCAUACGUCAAGGGUAUCUCAAAAAAUUUCGAAGGAAAUCGCCGAUUUGACCCAUCCCCGAUCAAUGACCCCACCGACUGAGGAGGUAGCGAACAAUCAGCCCAUGGUCGGGGUUAUCAACAUGAUCUCCAAACGACUGGACCGGGGGAUGACCGCUAGAGGGGAGUCAACAAAGAAGUUGCACCA